AACGAACGCUGGCGGCAGGCCUAACACAUGCAAGUCGAACGAGAAGCCACCUUCGGGUGGUGGACAGUGGCAGACGGGUGAGUAACGCGUGGGAACGUGCCUUUCGGUUCGGGACAACCCAGGGAAACUUGGGCUAAUACCGGAUAUGCCCUUCGGGGAAAGAUUCAUUGCCGAAAGAUCGGCCCGCGUCGAUUAGCUAGUUGGUGGGGUAAAAGCCUACCAAGGCGACGAUCCGUAGCUGGUCUGAGA
rnacentral:rRNA from 1 species